rnacentral:rRNA from 1 species
AUAUUGGACAAUGGGGGGAACCCUGAUCCAGCGACGCCGCGUGAGUGAAGAAGUAUCUCGGUAUGUAAAGCUCUGUCAGCAGGGAAGAAAGAAGACGGUACCUGACCAAGAAGCCCCGGCUCACUACGUGCCAGCAGCCGCGGUAAUACGUAGGGGGCAAGCGUUAUCCGGAAUUACUGGGUGUAAAGGGAGCGCAGACGGUCAUGCAAGUCUGGAGUGAAAGGCGGGGGCCCAACCCCCGGACUGCUCUGGAAACUGUGAGACUGGAGUGCAGGAGAGGCAGGCGGAAUUCCUGGUGUAGCGGUGAAAUGCGUAGAUAUCAGGAGGAACACCGGUGGCGAAGGCGGCCUGCUGGACGACAACUGACGCUGAGGCGCGAAAGCGUGGGGAGCAAA